rnacentral:rRNA from 1 species
ACUAAGUGAGCUACUUUAAAGCAGCUAUUAGAGCUAACCCGUCUCUGUCGCAAAAGAGUGGGGUGACUUUAAAGUAGAGGUGAUAGACCUACCGAACUUAGAGAUAGCUGGUUUUUUAAGAAAAGAAUUUUAGUUCAGCCCCAAGCCUUUCGUUAAGCAAAAAACCUUCUUAGGCCUGGGAGUCAUUCAUAUAGGGCACAGCCUAUUUGAAACAGGAUACAACCUAGAAUAUAGGGUAAAACAAUGUGAUUUUUCUAUAAGUGGGCUUGAAAGCAGCCACCUUUCAAAAAGCGUUGUAGCUUAUUGAUACUGAUUAUUUAAUAACCUCAAAAAUGUUUAACCCACACACACUAUUAAACUAUCCCAUAAAUUUAUGGGAGCUAUCAUGCUAGAACAAGUAACAAGAAAAAGAUUUUUCUCCAAAAUACAAGCUUUAGCCGCUACAGACAAACUACCGGCAAUUAACGCCUUUUAACUAAUUUAGUAACUCUAACAAGAAAACCCU